rnacentral:lncRNA from 1 species
UCAUAUCUUUCCUCAUCAUUGCUUGGACGGACCAUUUAAAAAUAUCAAAUAAGAAUGCAACAAAUGUCAACAUUCGGUUGGCUUAUCAGCUUGGGCAUGGAUCGAUCUGAUGUGGCAGAAUCUGAGGGACGGUGCAUCUAACCGCCAUAUGAAUGAGUGUUGGAUUGACAUCAGGUGGCACAAAUCGAUAAGGUGACCAAUUAAUCUUG